UAGAUAAGAGUUCAAGAGUACGUGCAUCUGCUUAGAGGUUAAGCCCGAUGAACCUGNAUAUNCNUUAUGGAAAAUUCAACAUUAAUAUUAUGAUAUUUAUUUAUAAAUAUUAUAAAAAUGGUGUGCAAUUUUUCCAUAUAAGGACAUUGUAAUCUGUUAAUGUAAUAAAUAUUUAUCAUAAGAUUCAAUAAUAAAAAGUUUAUUCAAAUUAGUUAUUUUCGGAUUUCUAACAUAGAAUAAAUUUUAUUGAAUUUGAUAAAUCAUUGACAGAUUUAUUUAUAUAUAGUGCAUAAAUUCUUUAUUGAAUUUUACAAUAAUUUUUAAAUGUAUUUUCAUUUAUUAAUUUAUUGUAUGCACUUAUAUGAUUAACAAUGCUAUAGAUUCAGGAUACCUUCGGGACCCGUCUUGAAACACGGACCAAA
rnacentral:rRNA from 1 species